rnacentral:rRNA from 1 species
GACGAACGCUGGCGGCGUGCCUAAUACAUGCAAGUUGAGCGCUGAAGGUUGGUACUUGUACCGACUGGAUGAGCAGCGAACGGGUGAGUAACGCGUGGGGAAUCUGCCUUUGAGCGGGGGACAACAUUUGGAAACGAAUGCUAAUACCGCAUAAAAACUUUAAACACAAGUUUUAAGUUUGAAAGAUGCAAUUGCAUCACUCAAAGAUGAUCCCGCGUUGUAUUAGCUAGUUGGUGAGGUAAAGGCUCACCAAGGCGAUGAUACAUAGCCGACCUGAGAGGGUGAUCGGCCACAUUGGGACUGAGACACGGCACAAACUCCUACGGGAGGCAGCAGUAGGGAAUCUUCGGCAAUGGACGAAAGUCUGACCGAGCAACGCCGAGUGAGUGAAGAAGGUUUUCGGAUCGUAAAACUCUGUUGGUAGAGAAGAACGUUGGUGAGAGUGGAAAGCUCAUCAAGUGACGGUAACUACCCAGAAAGGGACGGCUAACUACGUG